GGCAGGCAGGACGUGACUCAGGCUGGACCAGACUCACAGCAGGACAGGACUCAAACUGGACUAGGUCCACAAUGCUGGUAGUGAUGCUCACAGGACUGGGAGGUCGGGACUCAAGAAUAACGGGACAAACAGGAUUACUGGGCCUCACUUUUCUCCUAGUGGUGCUCCGAGGGUUGCUCGGCCUCCCCUCAGGUCUGGAAGGCUGUACAUAAGACUGGACCAGGCCAACGGGGCUAACAGGCCGUCUAUUGGGGCAUUGAGGGUUGCUAGUCCUCCCCUCAGGUCUGGAAGGCUGUACGUCAGGCUGGACCAGGACAACUGGUCUAACAGGCCGUCUAGUGGGGCAUCGAGAGUUGCUUGGCCUCCCCUCAGGUCUGGAAGGCUGUACGUCAGGCUGGACCAGGACAACUGGUCUAACAGGCCGUCUAGUGGGGCGUCGAGAGUUGCUUGGCCUCCCCUCAGGUUUGGAAGGCUGUACGUCAGGCUGGACCAGGACAACUGGUCUAACAGGCCGUCUAGUGGGGCGUCGAGAGUUGCUUGGCCUCCCCUCAGGUUUGGAAGGCUGUACGUCAGACUGGACCAGGACAACUGGUCUAACAGGCCGUCUAGUGGGGCGUCGAGAGUUGCUUGGCCUCCCCUCAGGUCUGGAAGGCUGUACGUCAGGCUGGACCAGGACAACUGGUCUAACAGGCCGUCUUGUGGGGCGUCGAGGGUUGCUAGGCCUCCCCUCAGGUCUAGUGAUGCUGACAGGGAUUCUAGGAAUCAUCAUCUCAUGCUGGUGCAGGCUCUCUGGGCUGCUGGGCCGGGAAUCAGGUAGAAGCUUGUAGUUCUUCAGAACCUCAGUGAAGGAGAGCUCCUUGUUGCGCCUGCGUC
rnacentral:lncRNA from 1 species